rnacentral:rRNA from 1 species
AGUGGCGGACGGGUGAGUAAUGUCUGGGACACUGCCCGAUGGAGGGGGAUAACUACUGGAAACGGUAGCUAAUACCGCAUCCCAUCGGAUGUGCCCAGAUGGGAUUAUCUAGUAGGUGGGGGAAUGGCUCACCUAGGCGACGAUCCCUAGCUGGUCUGAGAGGAUGACCAGCGACACGUGAACUGAGACACGGCCUAGAGUCCUACGGGAGGCAGGAGUGGGGAAGAUGGCACAAGUGGGGCAAGCCUGAUGCAGCCAUGCCGCGUGUAUGAAGAAGGCCUUCGGGUUGUAAAGUACUUUCAGCGAGGAGGCGUUAUGCGAAGAAGAAGCACCGGCUAACUCCGUGCCAGCAGUCGCGGUAAUUC